AGUCUUAGUGCAAUUUUAAGCUAUUAAA
ensembl:miRNA